UACGUAGGGUCCAAGCGUUGUCCGGAUUUAUUGGGCGUAAAGAGCUCGUAGGCGGUUCGGUAAGUCGGAUGUGAAAACCCCAGGCUCAACCUGGGGACGCCAUUCGAUACUGCUGUGACUUGAGUUCGGUAGGGGAGCACGGAAUUCCUGGUGUAGCGGUGAAAUGCGCAGAUAUCAGGAGGAACACCGGUGGCGAAGGCGGGUCUCUGGGCCGAUACUGACGCUGAGGAGCGAAAGCGUGGGGAGCGAACAGG
rnacentral:rRNA from 1 species